rnacentral:rRNA from 1 species
UACGUAGGGUGCGAGCGUUGCCCGGAUUUAUUGGGCGUAAAGGGCGCGCAGGCGGCUCGGCACGUCCGUUGUGAAAUCGCCCGGCUCAACUGGGCGGGGUCAGCGGAUACGGUCGAGCUUGAGCAAGCUAGGGGGUAAUGGAAUUCCCGGUGUAGUGGUGGAAUGCGUAGAUAUCGGGAGGAACACCAGUGGCGAAGGCGGCUCACUGGACUGGUAUUGACGCUGAGGUGCGAAAGCGUGGGGAGCAAACAGG